GACGAACGCUGGCGGCGUGCCUCAUACAUGCAAGUAGAACGCAGUUGCGAACGGGUGAGUAACGCGUAGGUCACUGCCUAUUAGAGGUGGAUAACUAUUGGAAACGAUUGCUACUACCGCCUCCUCUUCUAUGGACCUGCGUUGUAUUAGCUAGUAGGUAGGGUAAUGGCCUACCUCGGCGACGAUACAUAGCCGACCGUAGGUGGUGAUCGGCCAAAUGUGUACUGAGACACGGCCCAGACUCCUACGGGAGGCAGAAGUAGGGAAUCUGCGGAAAUGGGGGGAACUCUGACUGAGCAACGCCGCGUGAGUGAAGAAGGUUUGCGGAUUGUAAAGCUCUGUUGUUAAGGAAGCGGUACCUAACCAGAAAGGGACGGCUAACUACGUGCCAGCAGCCGCGGUAAUUC
rnacentral:rRNA from 1 species